rnacentral:rRNA from 1 species
AGAGUUUGAUCCUGGCUCAGGACGAACGCUGGCGGCGUGCUUAACACAUGCAAGUCGAACGGAAAGGCCCCCACCUUGGUGGGGGUGCUCGAGUGGCGAACGGGUGAGUAACACGUGGGUGAUCUGCCCUGUACUUCGGGAUAAGCUUGGGAAACUGGGUCUAAUACCGGAUAGGACCAUGGUUUAGUGUCUCAUGGUGGAAAAAUAUUGUUUUGGUGCAGGAUGAGCUCGCGGCCUAUCAGCUUGUUGGUGGGGUAAUGGCCUACCAAGGCGUCGACGGGUAGCCGGCCUGAGAGGGUGGACGGCCACAUUGGGACUGAGAUACGGCCCAGACUCCUACGGGAGGCAGCAGUGGGGAAUAUUGCACAAUGGGCGCAAGCCUGAUGCAGCGACGCCGCGUGGGGGAUGACGGCCUUCGGGUUGUAAACUCCUUUCGUUAGGGACGAAGCCACACCUUUUUUUGGGUGUGGUGACGGUACCUUUGUUAAGAAGCACCGGCUAACUACGUGCCAGCAGCCGCGGUAAUACGUAGGGUGCGAGCGUUGUCCGGAAUUACUGGGCGUAAAGAGCUCGUAGGUGGUUUGUUGCGUCGUCUGUGAAAUUCCGGGGCUUAACUUCGGGGUGGCAGGCGAUACGGGCAUAACUAGAGUGCUGUAGGGGAGACUGGAAUUCCUGGUGUAGCGGUGGAAUGCGCAGAUAUCAGGAGGAACACCGAUGGCGAAGGCAGGUCACUGGGCUGUUACUGACGCUGAGGAGCGAAAGCGUGGGGAGCGAACAGGAUUAGAUACCCUGGUAGUCCACGCCGUAAACGUUGGGCACUAGGUGUGGGGGGCCUUUUCCGGGUCUUCCGCGCCGUAGCUAACGCAUUAAGUGCCCCGCCUGGGGAGUACGGCCGCAAGGCUAAAACUCAAAGGAAUUGACGGGGGCC